rnacentral:lncRNA from 1 species
CUGCGCUCCAAUGAACAGUGGGAAAAGAUGAUCAAGGAUGGAGCUCCCCAAGAGGGCUUGGCCAUGGGAGAGAGGUUAGGAAGAAGAAGAGAAAGAGGUAAGUCAAGAGGAUGAUCAAAAUCUCGAAAGAACAGUAGCAAGAAAGAGGUUCGGUGCUACAAGUGCAAUGAGAUCGAGCACUUCAAGGGAGAUUGCCCGC